GGGUCCAAGCGUUAUCCGGAUUUAUUGGGUUUAAAGGGUGCGUAGGCGGCUUAUUAAGUCAGUGGUGAAAGCCUGCAGCUUAACUGCAGAACUGCCAUUGAUACUGAUGAGCUUGAAUAUACUUGAGGUGGGCGGAAUGUGUCAUGUAGCGGUGAAAUGCUUAGAUAUGACACAGAACACCGAUUGCGAAGGCAGCUCGCUAAAGUAUGAUUGACGCUGAGGCACGAAAGCGUGGGGAGCAAACAGG
rnacentral:rRNA from 1 species